rnacentral:rRNA from 1 species
GUGGGGAAUCUUGCGCAAUGGGCGAAAGCCUGACGCAGCCAUGCCGCGUGAAUGAUGAAGGUCUUAGGAUUGUAAAAUUCUUUCACCGGGGACGAUAAUGACGGUACCCGGAGAAGAAGCUCCGGCUAACUUCGUGCCAGCAGCCGCGGUAAUACGAAGGGGGCUAGCGUUGCUCGGAAUUACUGGGCGUAAAGGGCGCGUAGGCGGACAGCUUAGUCAGAGGUGAAAGCCCAGGGCUCAACCUUGGGAUUGCCUUUGAUACUGGCUGUCUUGAAUUUGGGAGAGGUGAGUGGAACUCCGAGUGUAGAGGUGGAAUUCGUAGAUAUUCGGAAGAACACCAGUGGCGAAGGCGACUCACUGGCCCAAUACUGACGCUGAGGCGCGAAAGCGUGGGGAGCAAACAGGAUUAGAAACCCGGGUAGUCC